GUAGCAGUACCCUGUCAUACCUGGGUGAUCUCCUUCCAAUGCAACUGGGGACCCACUGGAACCACCGGCUGAAAUUCAAAGCUGUUUUCCCAUCCUAUCUCCCUGACAUUUACAGGAAAAAGCUGGAUUCCCUGCAUAGUGAACUGCAAGGCACUAUCAACAGCAUGUAUUAGAAAAUGAUGCAGAAACAAACAGAACAUUAUUGAUGCCAAUGGAAACAGCACAUCCCACUGACCUGCACCCAAAUGACACUCAUCAAGAGGAGCCCUGGGGCAAAGAGACCCCUCAAAGCAAGCAGCAUAUCUGGGAAGCAGGUGUGGGCUGAGCAAGCAGAGAAGCAGGCAGAGAGCACCACGCUGAGCCUGCAGGUACCACCUUGCACCUUGCCUGGGUCUUUGUCAGUGUCUGCAGUCUCCACAGGGUCAUGAGCUCCUUUUCAAACACAACUAUUAUUCCAGUCCUGGGGUGAAUCAGAAGCAGGAGAAUAAGCAACCCUACUCAGAGCCUUACUAUCCAAUAAAGAGAAACAACACCCCAGAGAAAUCUUCCAACUAGAAGUCUGAUAGUAAAGCACAGCAUCUCUUCCUUUGGCUACUGGCCCAAAGGCACCUGCAUCAUCUCAGCUGAUUUUACAGAAUG